GGUCUUAUGGUUGAGUGGUUUAGGCGGGGUGCUGUUAAUACCCUUUACGAAGGUUCGAAUCCUUCUAAGACCU
rnacentral:tRNA from 1 species